GAGAUCUGGACGUAUGC
rnacentral:misc_RNA from 1 species